CUUAACUCUCCAACGAUUAUCUCUUUCUCGCAGCUUCUAUGUAUUUCCUCUUCAGAAACAAAACCCUAGCCUCCAUCCUCCAUUCUCUAGUAGCCAUACGUGAUGAUGAUAGAAACCAUGAAAUCCUCACAUAUGUUGUUUUUCAGUUUAUAUCUUAUGAGGUCUGACAUAUAUAUUUUCAGGUCUCGCCUGGAUUUGAGAUUUGGAAGGAAAAAACGAGAAGGCUAAGAGGAUGGUGAAGGACAUGGCAACUUACUUCUCUAUGACUUUGGGUGCUUUUGUGUUCUGGCAAUCCAUGGAUGAAGUCCACGUCCGAACGAAAAGGUAAAAAUCUCAUCUUGCUCAUGCCUAUAGAUGCAAUUUCUCUUUUAGAUUGGACUUAUAAUUUGGGUGAUUAGCAAUUUUUUUUUAAGAAUUUGAUUGACAAGCCAAGUAGGGCUUUUGCUGUUUGUCUUCCGAGUAUGUGGGCAAGCCAAGUAUCCAAGUUUUCAUUUCAAUUAGGGAUUUUGCUUGUCGAGAGAGACUCAAAGAGAAAGGGGAAUCGGAAUCGGAUUCAGUGUCUUAGGGUUAGGGCUUGUAGUCAUUACAUUGUGAUCUCCGUCGCCGAGUCUGAAAGGAGAAACCCCAAAAGAUAUUGAUUCACUUCUUGUUCCUUGCCAUUUCCACAAUCAAAUUCUGAUUCUUUAUUCUCUAACUGCUAUCUUAUGCCUCAAUUCAGCUACUUAAGGUGAUUAGUGUGUAUUUUUAUGCAUAAUUAGUGCUUUGUUUUGACGAUUUGGGUGUAGGGGCAAAAACAUUUAUUCGGUAAUCCAAUGCAUUUUGUGUAAUUUCAAGUUGAUUAAGGUAGUUCUCCAAUGGCUAAGAAAUCUGUAGCUCAACAAAGGCUAACGAAACUCGAUAUCUAUCUUUACAUACCCAACAUGAUUGGAAUGCAGGGUACAUAAGGGUUCUUAUGAACCGUUUUGCCUUUGCCCAGUGCUUCUCCAACAAGCAACUUUUCUCCGUUCUCUAUUUCAUAAGCUUUGUCUGCGAUGGGGUAGAUGGUUGGUGUGCUCGCAAAUUCAACCAAGAAUAAAGAUAAUAAUUGUGGAUCAAUGUUCGUAGCACUACGUUCGAACUCCUUGACAGUUGGUUAAAGUGGACAUGAAAAACUAGCAUUAUAAGACAUAUCAUAGGAUUGUAACAAGUACUUGUAAAAAUUUUACUUUGAUUUUUUUGUAUAUGUAGUUGAAUAUAUGAUUAUUAAUAUAAA